GGCACUUGAUCCAAAGAGAGCCUCUGAAAUGGCUGCACCCGAUAUCUCAGCAGGUUACCCCAUAGAGUGUUGAGUGGGCAACUCAAUUAUUCCCUCACCUGAAGAAGUCUGAAAGCAAGACGAAGAGAGUCCUUUUGCAAGAGUGAUGUACAAAGCCCUACGGACAUACAGACUUCGUGUGCAAGUCCUGUGGAGGAGAGGAGAUGAGAGAGCAAUCGGUUGGUGGCAUCUGGGGACAUUAAACAGUGACGUGGACACAGUGAUGGCCUGCAGUGGUGAACCAGUGAGGGAACAAGUCCUAUGGUUGGGGAGCUACCUGAGGCUGGAGAGCAGAGUACAGCCAGGCCCACAGUGGUGCAGCAUACCAGAGUCAAGGUCUCACUAGGAUGUCCAGGCUGGCCUCGAACUCCUGGGCUCAAGCAAUCCACCUGCCUUGGCCUCUGAAAGUGCAGGAAUUACAGCUGCUGUGCCCUGAGGGGUGAGGGAAAUGUGGUCGCCUAAAACACCAUCAAAGGUUGCUGCUUAAACACUUCCCUCAGCCAUAUAUGAAGGCUAAAUCAGAUAAAGAUCCCAGGAAGUGUGCAACAGGUAAGGCAUCUUGGAGAAUUAAAAAUAAAUUCUUCUAAUCGUCCUUUAGAACGUUAAAGGAAGAAAUCAUAUCAGAGCCAGGUAAAAAUUCAAUGAUAUCUUUCCCGAUAGUGAAGCAAAAUGAUCAAGAAAUUCAACUCUGAUCCAACCCACAGGCAAUUGCAGCCAUUCUCAAAAGGAUCCUGUCUUCCCAAAAUAAAUGUCUGCUCCACUUGAGUUAAAA
rnacentral:lncRNA from 1 species